AUUGACCGCUGGCGGCAGGCCUAACACAUGCAAGUCGAGCGAGCGGCGGACGGGGGAGUAAUGUAUGGGGACUGCCCGAUAGAGGGGGAUAACUACUGGAAACGGUGGCUAAUAACGCAUACUAUCGGAUAACCCAUAUGGGAUGAUCUCGUAGGUGGGGUAAAGGCUCACCUAGGCGACGAUCGCUAGAUGGUCUGAGAGGAUGAGCAGCCACAUUGGGACUGAGACACGGCCCAGACUCCUACGGAGGCAGCAGUGGGGAAUAGUGCACAAUGGGCGCAAGCCUGAUUCAGCCAUGCCGCGUGUAUGAAGAAGGCCUUAGGGUUGUAAAGUACUUUCAGCGGGGAGGCGUUACCCGCAGAAGAAGCACCGGCUAACUCCGUGCCAGCAGCCGCGGUAAUAC
rnacentral:rRNA from 1 species